UUUCCGUAGGUGAACCUGCGGAAGGAUCAUUAAUGAGAACUAAGGGUAGUAGUCUCGGCUAUUACUCUGGACACUCCACCCUUUGUUUAUAUUACCUUUGUUGCUUUAGCAGGCCCGCUCUCGAGCCGCCGGCACCUGCUGGCUAGUGCCUGCUAAAGAACCUAAAACUCUUGUUAAUAAUAUUGUCUGAGUACUAUAUAAUAGUUAAAACUUUCAACAACGGAUCUCUUGGUUCUG
rnacentral:misc_RNA from 1 species